rnacentral:rRNA from 1 species
AACGCCUCAGUUCGGAUUGCAGCCUGCAACUCGGCUGCAUGAAGCCGGAAUCGCUAGUAAUCGCGGAUCAGAAUGCCGCGGUGAAUACGUUCCCGGGUCUUGUACACACCGCCCGUCACACCAUGGGAGUCGGGAAUGCCCGAAGUCGGUGAGCUAACGAAAGAGGCAGCCGCCGAAGGCAGGCCCGGUAACUGGGGUGAAGUCGUAACAAGGUACC